rnacentral:rRNA from 1 species
AGCAGCCGCGGUAAUUCCAGCUCCAAUAGCGUAUAUUAAAGUUGCUGCAGUUAAAAAGCUCGUAGUUGAAUUUCGGGAUCAAUAUGUUGGUCGUGCCUCGGUACGUACUAGCUUAUUGGUUUCUCCCUUCUGACGAACCAUGAUGUCAUUUAUUUGGUGUUAUGGGAAAUCAGGACUGUUACUUUGAAAAAUUAGAGUGUUUAAAGCAGGCUCACGCUUGAAUACAUUAGCAUGGAAUAAUGAAAUAGGACGUUUGAUUCUAUUUUGUUGGUUUCUAGGAUCGACGUAAUGAUUAAUAGGGAUAGUUGGGGGCAUUAGUAUUCAAUUGUCAGAGGUGAAAUUCUUGGAUUUAUUGAAGACUAACUACUGCGAAAGCAUUUGCCAAGGAUGUUUUCAUUAAUCAAGAACGAAAGUUAGGGGAUCGAAGACGAUCAGAUACCGUCGUAGUCUUAACCAUAAA